UGCGUAGGCGGAUUAAUAAGUCAGUGGUGAAAUCUCUCGGCUCAACCGGGAAACUGCCAUUGAUACUGUUAAUCUUGAGUUCGGUUGAGGUAGGCGGAAUGUGUAAUGUAGCGGUGAAAUGCUUAGAUAUUACACAGAACACCAAUUGCGUAGGCAGCUUACUAGACCGACACUGACGCUGAGGCACGAAAGCGUGGGUAGCGAACAGGAUUAGAUACCCUGGUAGUCC
rnacentral:rRNA from 1 species